rnacentral:rRNA from 1 species
UACGGGGGGGGCAAGCGUUGUUCGGAAUUACUGGGCGUAAAGGGCGCGUAGGCGGCCUUCUAAGUCGGACGUGAAAUCCCUCGGCUUAACCGAGGAACUGCGACGGAUACUGCUUGGCUUGAGUCCCGGAGAGGGUAGCGGAAUUCCCAGUGUAGCGGUGAAAUGCGUAGAUAUUGGGAGGAACAUCGGUGGCGAAGGCGGCUACCUGGACGGGUACUGACGCUGAUGCGCGAAAGCUAGGGGAGCAAACAGG